UACGUAGGGACCAAGCGUUUGUUCGGAUUUACUGGGCGUAAAGGGCGCGUAGGCGGCGUGACAAGUCACUUGUGAAAUCUCUGGACUUAACCCAGAACGGCCAAGUGAAACUGUUGUGCUAGAGUGCAGAAGGGGCAAUCGGAAGUUCUCGGUGUAGCGGUGAAAUGCGUAGAUAUCGAGAGGAACACCAGUGGCGAAGGCGACUACCUGGCCUGUUCUUGACGCUGGAGGCGCGAAAGCUAGGGGGAGCAAACGGGG
rnacentral:rRNA from 1 species